AUGUCGGAACCGCUGCAGGAGUGUUGUCUAAUAUGUGGUUUUCGAGUUUCAGCUUUAAUUCGUUCAGGUCCCCUUGUCUGUCUUUACGUAGGUGAAAUGCUGUAUAUUAAUGUUGCUAACUAAAACGUACGAUAGCUUUUUCUUCAGGGAAAACUCAAAUUGAGUUGCAAAGUAGAGCAAUGCAAAGUGUAUGCGAUGCCCUCCAACAAGUGUCUGCGCCGAUUCCAGCUGUGCCUGGCGAGGGAGGAGCGGUCCUUACUAGCACCCUUGCUGCUGAGAGCUGAGCAUCACAAGGAAUUUCUGCCACUGUGCUUGACUAAUCCGUGUUUGCAACUUUGCUGUGCUUUAUUUAUUUAUUUUUUAUUUUUUUCCAGGAGGAAACAGUGAUGAAAGUGAACAAAUCCAGCCACAUCAGGUCAGAGUUAGAUCUACAGCAUAGGUGUGCAAACUUUUUUUUUUUUUUUUUUUAAGGUAUUUCAAGUUUCCAGUUCAAUUACUGAAAAUGACUACUAUGGUUUUACAAAGUAAAACUGCAGUAUCUUUAAAAAAGGGACUCUUUUGUAGGUGUGUUUGUCUUGCGUGGGUAUCUGUCUCAAAUUGAAUGUCGGGUUUGUUUGUAAGUAAAUUCAGAGUAGAGCCUGUGUGAGCAAAUCCAACAGCUGUGUUCUGCUGCCCUCUGUUUGGACCAUACUGUUUAAUCAGUGGUGUUACCUUAAACUUCUAAGGGUAUCUGAUGUAAUUACAUUGUAUAAUGGUUUACAAUAAAGUUUGACUUAUUACAGA